CACGUAGGGCGCAAGCGUUGUCCGGAAUUAUUGGGCGUAAAGAGCUCGUAGGCGGUCUGUUACGUCUGCUGUGAAAACCCAGGGCUUAACCCUGGGCUUGCAGUGGAUACGGGCAGACUAGAGGCAGGUAGGGGAGAAUGGAAUUCCCGGUGUAGCGGUGAAAUGCGCAGAUAUCGGGAGGAACACCGGUGGCGAAGGCGGUUCUCUGGGCAUGUUCUGACGCUGAGGAGCGAAAGUGUGGGGAGCGAACAGG
rnacentral:rRNA from 1 species